rnacentral:rRNA from 1 species
UACGGGGGGGGCAAGCGUUGUUCGGAAUUACUGGGCGUAAAGGGCUCGUAGGCGGCCAACUAAGUCAUACGUGAAAUCCCUCGGCUUAACCGGGGAACUGCGUCUGAUACUGGAUGGCUUGAGUUCGGGAGAGGGAUGCGGAAUUCCAGGUGUAGCGGUGAAAUGCGUAGAUAUCAGGAGGAACACCAGUGGCGAAGGCGGCUUUCUGGACGGUAACUGACGCUGAGACGCGAAAGCGUGGGGAGCAAACAGG